CUCCUCGCCGUCGGGCGCUGCCCCCUCCAGUGCGCGCCUCCUCGCCGCCGGGCACCGCCUUCUCCAGAGCGUGCCUUUUCAUCGCUGGGCGCCGCUCCUCCUACACGCACCUCCUUGUCGUCGGGCACCGCCCCCUCCUCCACAAGCCUUCUCACCGCCGGGUUCCGCCCCCUUCUCGCCGGCUGGCGCCGCCCCCUCCUCGCGUGCCUUUUCUUUGCCGGACGCCAACCCCACCCUGCUGCCGGGCGUCCGCCUUCGGGAUCCAACGCCCAACACCACGGUCUCUGUUGUCCUGCUGUUUCACAUGGGAGGUGUUAGCCUCCUGCACCCGCCGGAUCCGGUCAUCCCCUUCCGUUCACCUCUUCCACCCGAGGCCAUUCACCACCGCCACCAGUUCUCAUUCAACACCGGCCCCAGAAUCCCGCGCGUCAAUGACGCCGCUGUCAACCCAUGCGAAGCUUCAAAAGAGGGAGUCAGAGGAGAUAAAGCAGGGGAUUGUUGAUGUGCCUGAUUGUUGCUCUCCUGUUGCCGUUGCCGAGCACAGGGGGUGGUCGCCGGCGGCUCCAUUCUCGACCCAGCUGCUGCCCUGCAUGCAGCCAGCCUUGGAGACCACCCGCCACCACGACCGUCGUUGUCCAUCCCCUACAUCGACAGUGCUCAAGCGGCUCUUCUCACUGGCUCCUACGACUCCCUCAUUCGCCAUGGAUACAACCAUCAUUGCAGGUGUGGAGAACCAAAAAGUUAUAAUAAUGGUGAAUCAGAAGUUCAAGCACAGUAAUCUGGGGGCGUGGGGGCAACUGCUGAUAGAGACCGAGUCAAAGUGUCGUGACUGCUGAUGCAGAUCUUCAGCAUGGACUUUGAUGGAGAUACUCCUCUAAUGUCCUACUUCCAGAAGAUAUGAGUGAGAUGCGAUGGGACCUGACCAGAUGCUGAUGUUGGACUAGAAAAUUUAGUGAAAAACUAUUCUGUGCUAAAAGAACAACUAUGCUUUGUCGGACAAGCACAAUACGAGGUAAUGGAAAGCUCCAAUGCCCACCUACAAUAUAUUUUGUCCUGAGAAAAAAUUACACAAGAGUGCUAGGAUGUUCAAAUAAAAAUAGUACACACGUGUGGUGUCGUUUAUAUAAUUUUGUAAAGAAGAUCUAUAUGUGUAAGUUAUCUGAUAAAAGAAAGAACAAAAUCAACUUGCAAAUUUAGGGAAACAUGUGUACCUUGAGAGAAGUUCAUAGAAUAAAUGCUAGGAGGUUCAUUUGAUGUUCGUUUAAGAAGUCCUCAAUGCAAGUUGGAGGGCUGGUAAGUUCUACUACUAGUCUACGCCAAGUGCCAAGUUCAGGGGCAUUGCCCACUGAUGGCGAGGACAACGAGCCAACGACGUCGGAUCAUAGGUCGAAGAGGUGUUUCUAUGUUCCUAUAGCACGAACAGGUGCUUGUUGUUAUGCCUGAUAAUGAUGUUGUACACAAAUGGCUUAUGGGAUAUCAGGGUAAUGUGCAUACAAAUGAUUUUAGGUUAAUAUUAUUUGAUUUGACUACAGUACACGAAGCCUCUGCCUAUGUAGGAUGUAAGAGGGUUGACGGAUCCAUGCCGCACAAGCACUGGUGCUCUGCUUUCUUCUUACUUUGUGUUCUAAUUUGCUUUCUUCUUAUUUUCAGCUUGCGAGAAACAAAAAGAAGUUAAAAAAAUGUUGUGCCCGGAGUUCAUAUUAUUUGCUACCCCGUGAUAAUAAAAAUAAGAUGUAUGCAUUGCUUCUUGGCCCAGCUUGAGAGAACCCUCAUGUUAAAAAGUAUAAAGCAGUUUUGGUAGCUCAGGCUUCUUUAUGUUUUGGAGAUCUACAGAGUGACUAUCUGAGAGCUGUGCUGGACUUUCUCAUUACAGCAUGGAACUUCUCUAGAAAUCCCAGUUGAUUUUUAAUGUUUGUUCCUCAUCACUUCUAAAAAUCUCAGAGCAUCCGUCCAACUAUGUAUCAGGAUAUACUAUGUUGUAAAUUUAUGUAUGCUUGUAUGUGCA